rnacentral:rRNA from 1 species
UACGAAGGGUGCAAGCGUUACUCGGAAUUACUGGGCGUAAAGCGUGCGUAGGUGGUUUGUUAAGUCUGUUGUGAAAGCCCCGGGCUCAACCUGGGAAUGGCAAUGGAUACUGGCAGGCUAGAGUGCGGUAGAGGGUAGUGGAAUUCCCAGUGUAGAGGUGAAAUUCGUAGAUAUUGGGAAGAACACCGGUGGCGAAGGCGGCGCUCUGGACCGAGACUGACGCUGAGGCGCGAAGGCGUGGGGAGCAAACAGG